rnacentral:rRNA from 1 species
CCUACGGUGUGCAGCAGUGAGGACUAUUGGUCAAUGGGCGAGAGCCUGAACCAGCCAAGUCGCGUGAGGGAGUACUGCCCUAUGGGUUGUAAACCUCUUUUGUCGGGGAGCAAAAGCCGGACGUGUCCGGCUGUGAGAGUCCCCGCAGAACAAGCAUCGGCUAACUCCGUGCCAUCAGCCGCGGUAAUACGGAGGAUGCGCGCGUUAUCCUGAUUUAUUGGGUGUAACGGGUGAGUAGUCGGAAUAUCAAGUCAGCUGUAAAAAUUCGGGGUUCAACCCCGUCGUGCCGUUGAAACUGAUGUUCUUGAGUGGGCGAGAAGUAUGCGGAAUGCGGGGUGUAGCGGUGAAAUGCAUAGA